rnacentral:misc_RNA from 1 species
CAACCCUCGAACCCCGUCCGGGGGGUCGGCGUUGGGGACCUCGGGAGCCCCUAAGACGGGAUCCCGGCCCCGAAAUACAGUGGCGGUCUCGCCGCAGCCUCUCCUGCGCAGUAGUUUGCACAACUCGCACCGGGAGCGCGGCGCGUCCACGUCCGUAAAACACCCAACUUCUGAAAUG